rnacentral:rRNA from 1 species
UGGGGAAUUUUGGACAAUGGGGGAAACCCUGAUCCAGCCAUCCCGCGUGUGCGAUGAAGGCCUUCGGGUUGUAAAGCACUUUUGGCAGGAAAGAAACGUCGCGGGUUAAUACCCCGCGAAACUGACGGUACCUGCAGAAUAAGCACCGGCUAACUACGUGCCAGCAGCCGCGGUAAUACGUAGGGUGCAAGCGUUAAUCGGAAUUACUGGGCGUAAAGCGUGCGCAGGCGGUUCGGAAAGAAAGAUGUGAAAUCCCAGAGCUUAACUUUGGAACUGCAUUUUUAACUACCGGGCUAGAGUGUGUCAGAGGGAGGUGGAAUUCCGCGUGUAGCAGUGAAAUGCGUAGAUAUGCGGGGGAACACCGAUGGCGAAGGCAGCCUCCUGGGAUAACACUGACGCUCAUGCACGAAAGCGUGGGGAGCAAACAGGAUUAGAUACCCUGGUAGUCCACGCCCUAAACGAUGUCAACUAGCUGUUGGGGGCCUUCGGGCCUUGGUAGCGCAGCUAACGCGUGAAGUUGACCGCCUGGGGAGUACGGUCGCAAGAUUAAAACUUAAAUGAAUUGACGGGGUCAUAGCUGUUUU